rnacentral:rRNA from 1 species
UACGGGGGGGGCAAGCGUUGUUCGGAAUUACUGGGCGUAAAGGGUUCGUAGGUGGCUUGCUCAGUCAGACGUGAAAUCCCUCAGCUUAACUGGGGAACUGCGUCUGAUACUGGCGAGCUUGAGUGCAGGAGAGGAACGCGGAAUUCCAGGUGUAGCGGUGAAAUGCGCAGAUAUCAGGAGGAACACCGGUGGCGAAGGCGGCAUCCUGGACCAAUACUGACGCUGAGGAGCGAAAGCCAGGGGAGCAAACGGG